UUGAACGCUGGCGGCAGGCCUAACACAUGCAAGUCGAGCGGAUGAAGGGAGCUUGCUCCUGGAUUCAGCGGCGGACGGGUGAGUAAUGCCUAGGAAUCUGCCUGGUAGUGGGGGAUAACGUCCGGAAACGGGCGCUAAUACCGCAUACGUCCUGAGGGAGAAAGUGGGGGAUCUUCGGACCUCACGCUAUCAGAUGAGCCUAGGUCGGAUUAGCUAGUUGGUGGGGUAAAGGCCUACCAAGGCGACGAUCCGUAACUGGUCUGAGAGGAUGAUCAGUCACACUGGAACUGAGACACGGUCCAGACUCCUACGGGAGGCAGCAGUGGGGAAGAUUGGACAAUGGGCGAAAGCCUGAUCCAGCCAUGCCGCGUGUGUGAAGAAGGUCUUCGGAUUGUAAAGCACUUUAAGUUGGGAGGAAGGGCAGUAAGUUAAUACCUUGCUGUUUUGACGUUACCAACAGAAUAAGCACCGGCUAACUUCGUG
rnacentral:rRNA from 1 species